rnacentral:rRNA from 1 species
GAUGAACGCUGGCGGCGUGCCUAAUACAUGCAAGUCGAGCGAACAGACGAGGAGCUUGCUCCUCUGACGUUAGCGGCGGACGGGUGAGUAACACGUGGAUAACCUACCUAUAAGACUGGGAUAACUUCGGGAAACCGGAGCUAAUACCGGAUAGCAUGUUGAACCGCAUGGUUCAACAGUGAAAGACGGUCUUGCUGUCACUUAUAGAUGGAUCCGCGCCGCAUUAGCUAGUUGGUAAGGUAACGGCUUACCAAGGCAACGAUGCGUAGCCGACCUGAGAGGGUGAUCGGCCACACUGGAACUGAGACACGGUCCAGACUCCUACGGGAGGCAGCAGUAGGGAAUCUUCCGCAAUGGGCGAAAGCCUGACGGAGCAACGCCGCGUGAGUGAUGAAGGUCUUCGGAUCGUAAAACUCUGUUAUUAGGGAAGAACAAAUGUGUAAGUAACUAUGCACGUCUUGACGGUACCUAAUCAGAAAGCCACGGCUAACUACGUG